rnacentral:rRNA from 1 species
UGGGGAAUAUUGGACAAUGGGCGAAAGCCUGAUCCAGCCAUGCCGCGUGUGUGAAGAAGGUCUUCGGAUUGUAAAGCACUUUAAGUUGGGAGGAAGGGCAUUAACCUAAUACGUUAGUGUUUUGACGUUACCGACAGAAUAAGCACCGGCUAACUCUGUGCCAGCAGCCGCGGUAAUACAGAGGGUGCAAGCGUUAAUCGGAAUUACUGGGCGUAAAGCGCGCGUAGGUGGUUUGUUAAGUUGGAUGUGAAAUCCCCGGGCUCAACCUGGGAACUGCAUUCAAAACUGACUGACUAGAGUAUGGUAGGGGGUGGUGGAAUUUCCUGUGUAGCGGUGAAAUGCGUAGAUAUAGGAAGGAACACCAGUGGCGAAGGCGACCACCUGGACUAAUACUGACACUGAGGUGCGAAAGCGUGGGGAGCAAACA